AGGGAAACCGAGUCUUAACUGGGCGUUAAGUUGCAGGGUAUAGACCCGAAACCCGGUGAUCUAGCCAUGGGCAGGUUGAAGGUUGGGUAACACUAACUGGAGGACCGAACCGACUAAUGUUGAAAAAUUAGCGGAUGACUUGUGGCUGGGGGUGAAAGGCCAAUCAAACCGGGAGAUAGCUGGUUCUCCCCGAAAGCUAUUUAGGUAGCGCCUCGUGAACUCAUCUUCGGGGGUAGAGCACUGUUUCGGCUAGGGGGUCAUCCCGACUUACCAACCCGAUGCAAACUGCGAAUACCGAAGAAUGUUAUCACGGGAGACACACGGCGGGUGCUAACGUCCGUCGUGAAGAGGGAAACAACCCAGACCGCCAGCUAAGGUCCCAAAGUCACAGUUAAGUGGGAAACGAUGUGGGAAGGCUCAGACAGCCAGGAUGUUGGCUUAGAAGCAGCCAUCAUUUAAAGAAAGCGUAAUAGCUCACUGGUCGAGUCGGCCUGCGCGGAAGAUGUAACGGGGCUAAACUGUGCACCGAAGCUGCGGCAGCGACGCUUAUGCGUUGUUGGGUAGGGGAGCGUUCUGUAAGCCUGCGAAGGUGUCCUGUGAGGGAUGCUGGAGGUAUCAGAAGUGCGAAUGCUGACAUAAGUAACGAUAAUGCGGGUGAAAAGCCCGCUCGCCGGAAGACCAAGGGUUCCUGUCCAACGUUAAUCGGGGCAGGGUGAGUCGACCCCUAAGGCGAGGCCGAAAGGCGUAGUCGAUGGGAAACGGGUUAAUAUUCCCGUACUUGGUGUUACUGCGAAGGGGGGACGGAGAAGGCUAUGUUGGCCGGGCGACGGUUGUCCCGGUUUAAGCGUGUAGGCUGGUUUUCCAGGCAAAUCCGGAAAAUCAAGGCU
rnacentral:rRNA from 1 species